rnacentral:rRNA from 1 species
AAUGGUGACUAUUGCACGGGUGUCCACCUCUUCCCAUUCCGAACAGAGAAGUUAAGCCCCGUCGCGCUGAUGGUACUGCGGUAAAACGUGGAAGAGUAAGUCGUUGCCAGUU